rnacentral:lncRNA from 1 species
CCAGUGCUAAGGAAUCUGCUCUUGUGAUGACUGCAGAGGCAGAUCCCGUGGGAUGGAGCUUUGGGGAAGGGAGGAGUGAAGAGCAGCAAUACGCAGCCUCCUCCUUAUCCUCAGGGCAGGCACCUCAAAACUGUAUAGCACGGCACGUUGUGAGAGCCGAGAGCCGACGUCUGUAAUGGUACGCAGUGUGAUGCACUGGAUCAAGGAAGGCUUCAUGUGGACAAGGAAAUUGGAGCCUGGAGCUGCUGUGACCUGGCCUGCCUCACCGAGACGAGUCUGUGGAUUCCCACUGGCACGUCCUCAGCCUCCAGCCCUCAUGCUGUUCCUGCAGCCCGGGCCUGGUUUUUAUACUGUCCCAGGCCGAGUCCCGGCUCUAGGACCCACUCGCUGGGUAGCACCUCCGCUCCGGCUUCCUCAUGAGCUCUCUCAGGUUACAGAGCCUGGCAAGUGCACUGUGCCCGUCAGACAAGAGGGGAAGUAAUCCCCCUGCUCAGCCCCUAAUGGCUUCCUCUCUCCAGACCUCUAAGACCCCACGCUGUUCACUGUGGUGGCUCAGUCUCUGCCGCCUACCUUGGUGGGAGGAGACACCUGGGUCACCCAGUCCUGCUCUCUUGUUCACUUAUGUUAGCCUGCCUGGGAAGCCAUCAUCUCUUCUCCAGUCUCUUCCCCCAAACCUAGAAUGGCCAUGUGACACACUGUCUGCUUAGGGGCCACAUACAGGCAGAAACCAGGUAGAGAGCUCUGACAAGAUGUCUGCUUUCCUGAUGAAGACAGUGCUUGUGGCUGCACAAGUCAAAGACAAUGACAACCGGGAUUGUCUUUGCUGCCACCACCGCGGGGUGCUAACCUCUGGUCUCUAAGUUCUGCACUGUCAGGAAAGCGCUCUGGACCGCGAGGACGCGCUGCUCACCUGGGCGUGCUUGAAGAUGUGCAUGAUGAAGAUGGUGAGACCCAGGCCAAAGAUGUAGGCGGCGAAGCUGGUGUAGAAGUAGGUGUGCGUGUUCUUCUUCAAGCUGCAGACAAGGCGGAAGGAAGAGGUUAGUCGAGUAACAUCCUUUCUGCAAAGACUGAAGCUGCAUAUGUGUGUGGGGAGAUUCUCUGCCAGGAGCCUGGACAGCUGUGCACCUUGGACUUCCCUGAGCUAUGUCUCUUUAGAUAAGUUACCCUUCUUCCAUGCUCGGUUUAUACCUUUGCAAAAAACCGGGAAAGCCAUAGGCCAUUUGUAAAUACCAAAUGUAAAAAUCUAGAAAUGGCUCUAAGAGUUUUUUUUGUUUGUUUUUCAAGCCAGGGUUUCUCUGUAUAGCCUGGCAGGCUCUAAGAGUUUUAGCCAGCACAAAAAUCUCUUGGGGGAAAAAAGGCGGCUCUAGGUUAUCGCCACAGAAUGUAAAUUUGAGGCGAGGCUCAGGGAGUCUGCAAGGGCCUGAGUCAGGUCCUGUGCAUGCCUGGCAAGUGUUCCUCUGAGCUCCAGGCCAGCCUUGUGCUUAGCUUCUGUGACAGUCUGAAAAGAGCCCAAGGAGGGAGACCUAAGGGAACAGCUAGACCUGAAUGCAGUGGCUCAAGUCCAGCCUGACAAAGACGGGCUGCAGCCGGCUUUCCCUACCACUAAGGUCAGCCUGUGCUCAGCGCUCUGCCCGACUUGGCACAGCAGACCCGAGAGGGAACUCUUGUUUACCACCAUGGAUAUGAGCUUGAGGCUUACAAGGUCAGACUGGCCGCCAAGGGCACAGAGCUACAAACACCAAUCUCAGAUAAAAGGAUUUUUCCUUU